GGGGUUAUAGUACAACCUGGCAGUAUGUUAGGCUCCAGACCUGAAGAUCGGGGUUCAAAUCCCCGUGACCCCA
rnacentral:tRNA from 1 species